UACAGAGGGUGCAAGCGUUGUUCGGAAUCUUUGGGCGUAAAGGGCGCGUAGGCGGCCUUGUAAGUCGGAUGUGAAAGCCCAGGGCUCAACCUUGGAAGUGCAUCCGAAACUGCGAGGCUCGAAUCUCGGAGAGGGUGGUGGAAUUCCCAGUGUAGAGGUGAAAUUCGUAGAUAUUGGGAGGAACACCGGUGGCGAAGGCGACCACCUGGACGAAGAUUGACGCUGAGGCGCGAAAGCGUGGGGAGCAAACAGG
rnacentral:rRNA from 1 species